rnacentral:rRNA from 1 species
AUCCUGGCUCAGUAUGACGCUGGCGGCAGGCCUAACACAUGCUAGUCGAGCGGUAGCACAGAGGAGCUUGCUCCUUGGGUGACGAGCGGCGGACGGGUGAGUAAUGUCUGGGAAACUGCCUGAUGGAGGGGGAUAACUACUGGAAACGGUAGCUAAUACCGCAUAACCUCGCAAGAGCAAAGAGGGGGACCUUCGGGCCUCUCGCCAUCAGAUGUGCCCAGAUGGGAUUAGCUAGUAGGUGAGGUAAUGGCUCACCUAGGCGACGAUCCCUAGCUGGUCUGAGAGGAUGACCAGCCACACUGGAACUGAGACACGGUCCAGACUCCUACGGGAGGCAGCAGUGGGGAAUAUUGCACAAUGGGCGCAAGCCUGAUGCAGCCAUGCCGCGUGUGUGAAGAAGGCCUUCGGGUUGUAA